AAUGAGAUCAGAGGGUGAUUGCUGAGGGACCUCUGAUUGCAACUGAUAAGAAGCAGACCUGCAGCACAUGGCAUCAGGGCACCCCAGCACAGCUGCGGGAACAUUGCUCCCUCGAUCUAACAUCUAGAAGAAAUCCUCCACUUCACAACUCUACACCCCCACAAUGUAAACGUGGGAACUAAGAGACCAGGUGCUGCGCUGGUACACACGACAAACCCAUUAUCUUGUGUGCAGAUGCACGGUAAUCCCUGUGGGCAAGCCCCAUGGAAAUGACAACGGAUAUGAUAGCGGCCACAUCUUUUCUAGGAACGGUUUUGAACUUACCAAAACUUGUUCAAAAAUAAAAAAAAAAAAAAAUUCACUUGUCCUUGACAAAAAUCACCUGGAACAUUUCGUCUUCAAGACCCGUUGUGCUUUUCAACCUCUUGCCCCCAAAUACGGCAGCUCUCCAAAGCUGGAGUCACAAUCACAAUCUGUGAAACCCUCCGAGAGUGCUCCCUGCUAAGCCCAAGUUCUGGUUGACGGCUAAGGUACUCAAGGAAAACACUUUCAAAAUAGCUUCGGAACGACGCAGAAUACAAAGAGCAACAAUUGGCAUAAUAGGAGGCGUAAGUACUUCCCUUACCCUGCUAAUAAAAUUUUGUUGGCAGUAUUUUCAGGUAUAAACAUCUCGUUAUUGCAAGCCAGUAAUCUGAAAGGUGUCACAUGCACCCUGCGCUGCAGAAUUAUUUCUCAGAGGUCACCAGGAGACACAAUGGGAGGAAAUCCGGCUCUGCAGUGAAAAGUCUGCUGGGAGCCAUUAAUAAAAUCAUUGGGAAGGAGGAACUUAGGCUUUGGUCUCCUGCCUGCUUUAUCCCCUGGGCCAGCAAUACACUCCUAGUCUCAGACAUUUUUACUAAGGCUGUGCUUCUUAAAUAGAAAAGAGGAGAGAGCUGUUAUCCCAAAUUGCUGGUAUUUUUCUGUUCUGUUUCUGCGUGUGACACAAGAUUUCUAAACUAACAAACAGCAACAAUCAGUCCAGAAGGAAGACACAAUGCACUAUAAUAAGGAAAUGCUAGAAACGACACUCACAGCAUCAAGCUUAAUAAGAAGCUGAAACUUGGUGUUUGGACUAAAUCGCAAGAUAGUCUGUUUUGUUUUGUUUGUUUACUGUUGAACAUAGCUACAACAGCAAACAUAAAGGCAACCUAUGGACGAAGGGUGUGUUUACGUUGACUUUGCACUAUGAACCUAAGCUCAUUUCCCACGCUUCUCAGUUCAAGCCAGGUGCUGCGGAAGCCAUGGGUCUUUAGGGACUGGGAGCCUUGCCCCACCUUGCCCACCUGAAGGCUGCAUGUAUGUACAAAUCAAGAAAAUAUAUCAUGGUGGGGCUCCUCAACCUCACAGUUGGUGUUUCUUCCCUGGUGACCGAGAUGUCCUUGCAGGAAGGAGCUAUUGGAUUUCACUUGCCACUGUGGCCUGAGCCCAUGCUCCUUAGAUGAGCCUGGGGUAGCGCGGAUGGCAUUUCCUGUCUGCUCUUCAGUCAUUUCCCAUCCUCUUUUGAUUGAUUUCUUCUGGUGGUUUCCAUGUUUGGAGAAAUCGGACAGAAUAAACAGACUCGUCAAACCUCA